rnacentral:rRNA from 1 species
AGUCACUGACAUUAGAUACCCGGGUAGUCCAGGGUGUAAACGCUGCAGACUUGGUGUUGGGAACCCUUCGGGGGUGCUCAGUGCCGGAGAGAAGUUGUUAAGUCUGCUACUUGGGAGUACGUCCGCAAGGAUGAAACUUAAAGGAAUUGGCGGGGAGCACCGCAACGGGAGGAGCGUGCGGUUUAAUUGGAUUCAACGCCGGACAUCUCACCAGGGCGACAGCAGAAUGAUGGCCAGGUUGAUGACCUUGCUUGACAAGCUG